AUGAUUGUCUCUUCACCAGGGUCAGAAUGGAUUGAUUGGAAAGUCUGGUCCAUCGGGUUUGAUGGGUCUAGAGGUAGGAUUUUUAUAGAAGAUGCACCUAAAUCCACUUACAUGAUUGUAGUUUUUGAUGAGAAACACGCUUUUGGAGUCGGUUGGUUGGUUGAGUAUAUAAGUUGGCUUUCAAUGCAGGGCUUGAUAGGCCUUCGGGGACCACCAGGAGCAAAUGGUUUACCAGGCCCAAAGGGGGAAACUGGAUCACCUGGGGCACCUGGCCAUCCAGGAGAUCAAGGCAAUCGGGUAAAAUCAAUGACUGUUUUCCACGAGACAAUAGUUUGGAUAAAAUAACAUUUGAAUUGUGAACUGGGAAUAAGACAAGAGAUGCUGCAUUUCUCUCACUGCCCUUUUUUGCAUAUAUAUUGGCUGCUGUAUAAGAUUACAGGAAUUGAGGGGAACCUCUCAAUGUCAAAUUAAAGUCAUUAUGUUUUUGUUUCAUCUACAGGGAAUAGCUGGGCAGAGAGGCUUACAAGGGGUUAUGGGGAAGGCAGGACCUCAGGUUAGUACGGCUAACCAUUUCAAGGUAAAUCCCGGUUACAGUGCUAGAUUUUCAGCGGAUAAAUAAUACUGAUAUUGCAGGGAGCCGUGGGUCCCAGAGGCCCAGAGGGCUUAUUGGGUCCAAAGGGUAUGCCGGGACAAGAGGGACCUAAAGGUGAACCAGGAAAACAAGGACCUCCAGGGCAGAUGGUGAGGCGCUAAAUUAAAUAAGAUUUUUUAUAAUGAGCGUCUAAACUCUGCUUGAUGUCAGCUGAUGAUUAUCUCUUGUCUAGGGACCACCGGGCCUUCCUGGCAACAAAGGACCCUCUGCAUUACAAGGAAAUGAGGUAGCAUUUCAACAUAACAUUGUCCAAACUUUUUUUCAUAUUUAGUCAGAUAGAAAUAUUUGAAUGUUCUUUGAUCAAAAUUCAGAAAUGUAUUUAUUAAUUUAAUUGCGUUGUGCUUUUAUUUCCAGGGAAUUCCAGGAGAAAUGGGAGCUGAUGGCCCUGUUGGCCCACCAGGGCCACAAGUCAGUAUUUGUGUGAUUUAAUAUCAGGGAAAAUUCUGCAAUGAAUCAGCAACUAAAUGGUGAUAUUCUUUCACCACCUGAAGACUGGGAAUGAUGUAUUAUUUCUGUUUUAUUAUGUAUUAUUGAUGUUUUAGGGUCCAACUGGCAAAUCUGGGCCUCAGGGAAGGGAUGGACCGAAAGGUCAGAAGGUCAGAGUGAUCUAAAUUUCUUUAUUCAUCAUAGGAUUGAAUUUGCAAUCUGAUAUCAUAACAUUCACUUUAUUCCUUCUCUAGUUGCUCUGUUAAUUUCUGAAAAUAUUACGACUAAUCACUUUAACAAUCAGCCUUACUGUAUAUACUAUACUUUUCUAAUUUUUCAGGGAAAUGAUGGUCUAGAUGGGCCUUCUGGAAAACCUGGGCAUACUGGGAAGAGAGUAAGUAUAGUGUUAAGUUUUUUUUGUGUGUGUGUUUGUGGGAAACAUUUCCAGCAUUAACAGAACCAUUUAAAUUAUUCUUUGACUGUUAGGGGAAAAAGGGAAAAGCUGGUCAGAGGGGUCUCAGAGGACCUAGAGGGGAGAAGGUACUCAUUUAUUAAUUAGUCAUUUUUAAAUGCUACUUAACUUGGAAAGAUAUGAUGUUCAUCACAAAUUCAUCACAUUUAUUUUUAUGUGUAAUAGGGCCAACAGGGAGCAAUGGGAAAGACUGGACUUCCUGGCAGACCAGGAAAAUAUGUAAAUGAAUACAAAUGGGUAAUGUACAUAUGAUAUAUAUGAUGAAAAGACAAUGAGAAUAUUCAUCAGUGGUCUACAUUUAUUGUUUCAGGGUUUACCAGGUAUUCGAGGCAAUAAAGGAGAGAGCGGUGAAAAAGGCUUUGAGGUU
ensembl:lncRNA